rnacentral:misc_RNA from 1 species
CUGUGUCUCUCGUUGUCAUUGACGUGCGCGAGCACUGUGAACCCACUGUAAAACUGCUCCAUCACCGCCUGCAUCCCACUUUCCCGUCACUCCUGCAUCUGUGCAUUCGCGUACCCAUGAGCGACGUCAACCCGGCGACUUCACUUCCAGCUGGCGGCGCAGGCGAAGGCGCGAGCCGUUUGUCGUACGCCUUUUUCACCUCCUGGUGUCGACAGCGGCUGCUACCCACCUUGUUCCCCUCGCCCGCCACCGCGACGAUGUCGCCACCCCGCCUCGCCUCACUCUGCCCUGCUGCUCUACCGGACCUCGAGGUGACUGCGGCAGCAAAGGUGUCUGUGCCACCGACGCCGCCGCACUCCGCAGCAGUGCCCACGCAGGCAGCAUUCUUGGCGACACCGAGGGGAGAGCGCCGAAGGGAGCUGGCGCCGUUGUCGCCGCCGCCACACCCGAUAUCUAUUGAGAUGGAGGCGAACUCCACGGAUAGCGUCCCUGCCGCUGCUCUUGUGCAUUCGCUGCCACUCCCCCCGGCGGCACUGCAGCAAGGCUGCGGCGUUGCAUCUUCGAAGACCUCCGCUGUAGCUACAGACUCCUGUGCCCUUGCUGACGCUUCCCCCACGCAAGGAUCUGCGUCGUCAGUGUCUACGACGCCGCAAGUGACGCCCUCUUCGUCUUUACUCUCCCUCCACAAGCUGAGUACGAAGGCCGCGUCGACUUCGAACGCGGCAUCGGACAAGCCAGCGCCGGUGCUACUUGCCGGAAAUGGUCGGCCGGGAUUGCCUUCGUCGACCUCUUCCCCGUUCAUCUACCCUGCCCCGCUGUCGUCGCCGUUUCCUGCGCCGGCAGACUCGCUUGCGGGGAUGCGUACCCCGCCCACGUGCGUGGAGUUGCCAGGGCCGCAGUCGCUCUUCAUUCGCGGCUCUGACGCUCUUGGGUGCAGUGGUCGCUCACCCCCGCUGCUGUAAUAAGACAUGCGCACAGAGAUGGGCGGCGCGCCUUCAGGUAAGGUCUAGAGCGACCGCUUCUCUUUUUCGCUUUCGUCCCUCUUUGUUCUCACAUCUCCCAUGUACUCUAAUGCGUGAGCGCGUGCUGUACACUGUGGAGGACUUGCUGAUGUCGGCACAGAGCAUGCGCUGCCUUGCACGAUGAUGUUGCGCAGCAUGGGCCUUGGUCAUUGCCCUUCACGACGAGCCGCGCUGUGCCAAGGACGGUCGUUUCUUCUCUUCCAAUGGCGUUUCCAGCCCCCUCCCCUCCCUCCCUCGUUGCCCCCUUCUCUUCCGCUUGCGUGCUCGUCGUAGCCACCGGUGGCUUUCCUCGCAGUCACCGUGAUCUUGGUGACUGCUGCUACCGCAAACAACCCCAGGAAAGAAGACGAGGCCCAUCGACAUUCUACUCCGAACUCCUCCCCCACUCCGAUGUGAGCAUCCUCGGACGGCGAAAGCUGCCCUUCAUCAUAUUGGUCCUCUUUUUUGCUUCUCUGAAGUCUCGCUUUCUCUCUCUGUCGCUUGCCCUUUCCUUCUCUUUUCUUUUCUCCCGCUUUAUCUGUUUCCCUGUCUGGGUGCGCCUGUAUACGUGCACGCACUGCACCUUGCUGCUUCUCUGUUCUUCUGUGUUUUCUCUCGCUGUUUGAUCUGAUGCAUGGGGCACACCUCUUUUUCGUCGCUCUUCUGGAUGCCCACCCCCCUCUCUCUCUGUAAAAGACAAGGUGCUGCAGCCGGAGAGGGGAAGGGGGACACUGACGCUGCCGCCUCAAUCAAGAAUUCAUUGGGUGCAUGCGUGUCUGUCUCUUUGAGAGUCCUUUGCACGUCUCACUCGUCUUGCUCUUGGUGUGUUGCUAGUUAGCCAUACGCCGCAUGGGCUCGGCGCCUGCUCUGCUUGCGUGGCUUUCUUCGUCUUUCCGCUGCAUGUUUUUGUCUUGUCUUUUUGAGUGUAUGGCGUGAAGGCGGUCACAUUUCCGAAGCGGGCGACGCUUCUUCGCUUGUUUAUGUGUUUAUGUGCUCGUGUGUGUGUGCAGUAGGCGACUCGCUCUGCGUAGUUGCGGCGGGGAGGCGUCGGGCAGGCGUUUCGAGCUCCAUCAGCAUUCGAGCCAGUGUGCAGGGUCCAGCAAAGAAGCAAACCAACGCCGCACAGCAGCACGCAGCCAGCUCUCUUGUUGCUGCGAUGGCUCAUCCGCUGCCUCCGCUGGUCCUUCGUUUUCUUUUUGCGGCCGUGACGAGGUGCGUCUUCCCCUCGUCUGUGUUUUUUUUUUUCACCCUCGCUGCCUCACCCAACGUCGGCACGCCGCUCACCCUCCUGCCCCGUGCACACAGGCACAGAGGAACGAAUGCUAAAAGAAAAAAAAGCGAUCAGAUGGAGGAUUCAAAACAGCAGCGACAACCACAACCCGUAAUGACACGGACGACACACGGCGACGUUGUCCGUGCGGUGCUGACCUUCUUCACCCCCUAAAUCUUCGAUCCGUUCGGUGGUACAUCAUCCGCUGUUUUCCCUUUUCGAUGUUUGCGCGCGCGCUCUAUUAUAAUACCACUCUUCUGCUCUCUUUUGUGGACGCGACAUCUGCGUGCUUGCCCGUGUGUUUUUUUUUUAGACUCGCAGUUCGCGUCUCUCUCUUUCGAUUUGCUUCACGAAAGCAGAUCGUUGCGAUGAACCUCCUCAUCGG